GAUGAACGCUGGCGGCGUGCCUAAUACAUGCAAGUCGAGCGAACGGACGAGAAGCUUGCUCCUCUGAUGUUAGCGGCGGACGGGUGAGUAACACCUGGAUAACCUACCUAAAAGACGGGGAUAACUUCGGGAAACCGGAUCUAAUACCGGAUAAUCUUUUGAACCGCAUGGUUCAAUAGUGAAAGACGGUCUUGCUUUCACUUAUAGAUGGAUCCGCGAUGCAUUAGCUGGGUGGGAAGGAAACGGCUUACCAAGGCAACGAUGCAUAACCGACCUGAGAGGAUAGUCGGCCACCAUAGAAUUGUAACACGAUCCAGACUACUAGCGGAGGCGGCAGUAGGGAAUCGUCCACAAUGGACGAGAGCGUGGCGGGGCAAAGCCGUGUGAGUGAUGAAGGUCUUCGGAUCGUGAAGCUCUGUUAUUAGGGAAAAACAUAUAUGUAAGUAACUGUGCACAUCAUGACGGUACCUAAUGAGAAAGCCACGGCUAACUACGUG
rnacentral:rRNA from 1 species